rnacentral:rRNA from 1 species
CUAUCAAUGCAGUCGAGCGACAGAUGAGAAGCUUGCUUCUCUGAUGUUAGCGGCGGACGGGUGAGUAACACGUGGGUAACCUACCUAUAAGACUGGGAUAACUCCGGGAAACCGGGGCUAAUACCGGAUAAUAUUUUGAACCGCAUGGUUCAAUAGUGAAAGACGGUUUCGGCUGUCACUUAUAGAUGGACCCGCGCCGUAUUAGCUAGUUGGUAAGGUAACGGCUUACCAAGGCGACGAUACGUAGCCGACCUGAGAGGGUGAUCGGCCACACUGGAACUGAGACACGGUCCAGACUCCUACGGGAGGCAGCAGUAGGGAAUCUUCCGCAAUGGGCGAAAGCCUGACGGAGCAACGCCGCGUGAGUGAUGAAGGUCUUCGGAUCGUAAAACUCUGUUGUUAGGGAAGAACAAAUUUGUUAGUAACUGAACAAGUCUUGACGGUACCUAACCAGAAAGCCACGGCUAACUACGUGCCAGCAGCCGCGGUAAUACGUAGGUGGCAAGCGUUAUCCGGAAUUAUUGGGCGUAAAGCGCGCGUAGGCGGUUUCUUAAGUCUGAUGUGAAAGCCCACGGCUCAACCGUGGAGGGUCAUUGGAAACUGGGAAACUUGAGUGCAGAAGAGGAGAGUGGAAUUCCAUGUGUAGCGGUGAAAUGCGCAGAGAUAUGGAGGAACACCAGUGGCGAAGGCGGCUCUCUGGUCUGUAACUGACGCUGAUGUGCGAAAGCGUGGGGAUCAAACAGGAUUAGAUACCCUGGUAGUCCACGCCGUAAACGAUGAGUGCUAAGUGUUAGGGGGUUUCCGCCCCUUAGUGCUGCAGCUAACGCAUUAAGCACUCCGCCUGGGGAGUACGACCGCAAGGUUGAAACUCAAAGGAAUUGACGGGGACCCGCACAAGCGGUGGAGCAUGUGGUUUAAUUCGAAGCAACGCGAAGAACCUUACCAAAUCUUGACAUCCUUUGACCGCUCUAGAGAUAGAGUCUUCCCCUUCGGGGGACAAAGUGACAGGUGGUGCAUGGUUGUCGUCAGCUCGUGUCGUGAGAUGUUGGGUUAAGUCCCGCAACGAGCGCAACCCUUAAGCUUAGUUGCCAUCAUUAAGUUGGGCACUCUAGGUUGACUGCCGGUGACAAACCGGAGGAAGGUGGGGAUGACGUCAAAUCAUCAUGCCCCUUAUGAUUUGGGCUACACACGUGCUACAAUGGAUAAUACAAAGGGCAGCGAAUCCGCGAGGCCAAGCAAAUCCCAUAAAAUUAUUCUCAGUUCGGAUUGUAGUCUGCAACUCGACUACAUGAAGCUGGAAUCGCUAGUAAUCGUAGAUCAGCAUGCUACGGUGAAUACGUUCCCGGGUCUUGUACACACCGCCCGUCACACCACGAGAGUUUGUAACACCCGAAGCCGGUGGAGUAACCUUUUAGGAGCUAGCCGUCGAA